UGCAAGCGUAUACCAAAGUUGUUGCAGUUAAAACGCUCGUAGUCGGAAUUUGGCAGUUCCGGAUGUGUGCACGUCGUGUGCGCACUUCGCGGGGAUUGCUUUUGUGGUCUUGCGUAGGAUGAGGCACUUUUAUUAGUGAACGUCCUCACGCAACCACUUUUUACUGUGAGAAAAUCAGAGUGCUCAAAGCAGGCAUUUGCCGUGAAUGUAUUAGCAUGGAAUAAUAGAAUAGGACUUGGUUCUAUUUUGUUGGUUUGUUGGGACUGAGUAAUGAUUAAGAGGGACAGUUGGGGGCAUUUGUAUUUCGGUGCUAGAGGUGAAAUUCUUAGAUUACCGAAAGACAAACUGCUGCGAAAGCGUCUGCCAAGGAUGUUUUCAUUGA
rnacentral:rRNA from 1 species